rnacentral:rRNA from 1 species
GACGAACGCUGGCGGCGUGCUUAACACAUGCAAGUCGAACGCGCCUGUCCUCUGGGUUUCUGGGGGGUGGGUGAGUGGCGAACGGGUGAGUAACACGUGAGUAACCUGCCCCCUUCUUCGGGAUAACGGUCUGAAAGGGCUGCUAAUACCGGGUAUUCACUGGUCUCCGCAUGGGGUCUGGUGGAAAGGUUUUUUUCUGGUGGGGGAUGGGCUCGCGGCCUAUCAGCUUGUUGGUGGGGUGAUGGCCCACCAAGGCUUUGACGGGUAGCCGGCCUGAGAGGGUGACCGGUCACAUUGGGACUGAGAUACGGCCCAGACUCCUACGGGAGGUAGCAGUGGGGAAUAUUGCACAAUGGGCGCAAGCCUGAUGCAGCGACGCCGCGUGAGGGAUGGAGGCCUUCGGGUUGUGAACCUCUUUCGCCCGUGGUCAAGCCGCGACGUGGGUCGUGGUGAGGGUAGUGGGUAAAGAAGCGCCGGCUAACUACGUG